rnacentral:rRNA from 1 species
AAUUUUGGACAAUGGGGGAAACCCUGAUCCAGCCAUCCCGCGUGUGCGAUGAAGGCCUUCGGGUUGUAAAGCACUUUUGGCAGGGAAGAAAAGGCUCUGGUUAAUACCUGGAGCUGCUGACGGUACCUGCAGAAGAAGCACCGGCAAACUACGUGCCAGCAGCCGAGGUAAUACGUAGGGGACAAGAGUUAAUCGGAAUUACUUGGCGUAAAGCGUGCGCAGGCGGUUUGGCAAGAAGGAUGUGAAAUCCCGGGGCUUAACCUCGGAACUGCAUUCUUAACUGCCAGGCUAGAGUAUGUCAGAGGGGGGUAGAAUUCCACGUGUAGCAGUGAAAUGCGUAGAGAUGUGGAGGAAUACCGAUGGCGAAGGCAGCCCCCUGGGAUAAUACUGACGCUCAUGCACGAAAGCGUGGGGAGCAAACA